rnacentral:misc_RNA from 1 species
GUGGAAAAGAAUAUGAUAUUUAUAAUAUUAUAGGUGAUCCUGAAUCGUUUAAGAAAUUUCGCAUGAAACAGCCUCCUAUUGCUUACUGGUUAGAAACUAAAAAGGGAAGGAAAGGCUGGUUACAGAAAUAUAUGCCUGCCUUACCUCAUGGAAGCAAAUACAGGGUGUAUUUUAACACACCAAAUGGGCCUCUUGAACGAGUUCCUGCAUGGGCCAAUUUUGUCAUUCCAGAUGCAGACGGGAUGCAAGCAUUAGCAGUCCAUUG